rnacentral:tRNA from 1 species
CCUCGAGGUAGAGCGCGGCGGCACCGGCGACGUGGGGGGUCGCCAUCGACGUACCGGAGAUGGUGUUGGUCGAGCCGUCGUUCCAGGCC